UACUUGUACUGAUUGAGAUUUUAACACGAAGUGAGUGGCGAACGGGUGAGUAACACGUGGGUAACCUGCCCAGAAGUAGGGGAUAACACCUGGAAACAGAUGCUAAUACCGUAUAACAGAGAAAACCGCAUGGUUUUCUUUUAAAAGAUGGCUCUGCUAUCACUUCUGGAUGGACCCGCGGCGUAUUAGCUAGUUGGUGAGGUAAAGGCUCACCAAGGCAGUGAUACGUAGCCGACCUGAGAGGGUAAUCGGCCACAUUGGGACUGAGACACGGCCCAGACUCCUACGGGAGGCAGCAGUAGGGAAUCUUCCACAAUGGACGCAAGUCUGAUGGAGCAACGCCGCGUGAGUGAAGAAGGGUUUCGGCUCGUAAAGCUCUGUUGUUAAAGAAGAACGUGGGUAAGAGUAACUGUUUACCCAGUGACGGUAUUUAACCAGAAAGCCACGGCUAACUACGUGCCAGCAGCCGCGGUAAUACGUAGGUGGCAAGCGUUAUC
rnacentral:rRNA from 1 species